ACUUCACAAUCAAAGAAAUUUCGACAUGGCAUAUAUGGUAAAGAUCCAACAGUGGAGACUAGCUUUCUGCCUGACAGAGGUGAUGAGGAUACGCUUUCAGUGAGAGGGAGGCAGAGGAACAAGCUGAACGUGAAAGGCUGCAGAGACAGUGGUUUCUUGAGCAGGGGCGGAUUCGAAAUGAGCCUCUUCAAAUUACUUACAGCUACUGGGAU